CCACCAAGGGUCAAAGCUCCAAGAUGGAAGUAACGAGUCCUGCAUGCGAAUUUCUUCUUCUGGCAACCUUGUUUGUGAAAGCGAAAGUGCAGACGACUUGGAGCAAAGUAUUAUUUGUUUACUUAUGAUAAUGACAUGCAAUUCUGCCUUUAUUGCAACUCCGGUUUUCCCAUUUUACUUUAAUGAAUGAAAGUGAAACAGGGUGCCGUCAGUUUGUUCACAUGGUUGCACCUGUGCCAGUGGGAGAAAUGAAUUUCAAUAAAAAAAAGGAGGAAAAAGGCAGCAAUAUCUACAUCAAAUAGCAAUUCUUCAAGUCAGCCAACACAGCAUGAUUAUGAGAUGUUCUUAAAUGCGAUAAAAGUACAUCAGCCAGCAGCUCCAAUUUUUUCUGUACUGUCAGAUGAUGAAGACACAGAUACAGCUAGCGAAUCUGAAAAAGAAAAUACAUUUUAUCCAAGUACCAGACUUUAAAAUGUUUCAGAGCGUCGAUCACGAUUACCUGCAACUCUUACUCACAAUGAACGAAUUGAAAUUUUAAUGAAAAAUAUUCAUAUGGAUAAAAAAACAAACAAGGAGGUAGAAAAAAUAC